rnacentral:rRNA from 1 species
GACAGAGGGUGCAAACGUUGUUCGGAAUUACUGGGCGUAAAGCGCGUGUAGGCGGCUUUGCAAGUCGGGUGUGAAAUCCCACGGCUCAACCGUGGAAGUGCAUUCGAAACUGCGAGGCUAGAGUCCUGGAGAGGAAGGUGGAAUGCUUGGUGUAGAGGUGAAAUUCGUAGAUAUCAAGCGGAACACCGGUGGCGAAGGCGGCCUUCUGGACAGUGACUGACGCUGAGGUGCGAAAGCGUGGGGAGCAAACAGG